GCGGGGGUUCCCAAGCCUGGUCUAAGGGGGCGGGGUUAUGAUCCGCUGGCGUUGGCCUUCGUGGGUUCGAAUCCCACCCUCCGCA
rnacentral:tRNA from 1 species